CCCCGGGCUCAACCUGGGAACUGCGUUNUGAACUGGGUGACUAGAGUGUGUCAGAGGGAGGUAGAAUUNCACGUGUAGCAGUGAAAUGCGUAGAGAUGUGGAGGAAUNCCGAUGGCGAAGGCAGCCUCCUGGGAUAACACUGACGUUCAUGCCCGAAAGCGUGGGUAGCAAACAGGAUUAGAUACCCUGGUAGUCCACGCCCUAAACGAUGUCGAUUAGCUGUUGGGCAGCAUGACUGCUUAGUAGCGAAGCUAACGCGUGAAAUCAACCGCCUGGGGAGUACGGUCGCAAGAUUAAAGCUCAAAGGAAUUGACGGGGACCCGCACAAGCGGUGGAUGAUGUGGAUUAAUUCGAUGCAACGCGAAGAACCUUACCUGGUCUUGACAUGUACGGAAUCCUCCAGAGACGGAGGAGUGCCUUCGGGAGCCGUAACACAGGUGCUGCAUGGCUGUCGUCAGCUCGUGUCGUGAGAUGUUGGGUUAAGUCCCGCAACGAGCGCAACCCUUGUCAUUAGUUGCCAUCAUUAAGUUGGGCACUCUAAUGAGACUGCCGGUGACAAGCCGGAGGAAGGUGGGGAUGACGUCAAGUCCUCAUGGCCCUUAUGACCAGGGCUUCACACGUCAUACAAUGGUCGGUACAGAGGGUAGCCAAGCCGCGAGGCGGAGCCAAUCUCACAAAACUGAUCGUAGUCCGGAUUGCACUCUGCAACUCGAGUGCAUGAAGUCGGAAUCGCUAGUAAUCGCAGGUCAGCAUACUGCGGUGAACACGUUCCCGGGUCUUGUACACACCGCCCGUCACACCAUGGGAGUGGGGGAUACCAGAAGUAGGUAGGGUAACCGCAAGGAGCCC
rnacentral:rRNA from 1 species